rnacentral:rRNA from 1 species
AGCAGAGAUGCAUCAGGUGCCCUUCGGGGAAAGUUGAGACAGGUGGUGCAUGGUUGUCGUCAGCUCGUGUCGUGAGAUGUUGGGUUAAGUCCCGCAACGAGCGCAACCCUUGACUUUAGUUGCCAGCAGGUAAGGCUGGGCACUCUAGAGUGACUGCCGGUGACAAACCGGAGGAAGGUGGGGAUGACGUCAAAUCAUCAUGCCCCUUAUGACCUGGGCUACACACGUACUACAAUGGCCGGUACAACGGGAAGCGAAGCCGCGAGGUGGAGCCAAUCCCAGCAAAGCCGGUCUCAGUUCGGAUUGCAGGCUGCAACUCGCCUGCAUGAAGUCGGAAUUGCUAGUAAUCGCGGAUCAGCAUGCCGCGGUGAAUACGUUCCCGGGUCUUG